rnacentral:rRNA from 1 species
AACGCGAAGAACCUUACCUAAGCUUGACAUCCUUUUGACCGAUGCCUAAUCGCAUCUUUCCCUUCGGGGACAGAAGUGACAGGUGGUGCAUGGUUGUCGUCAGCUCGUGUCGUGAGAUGUUGGGUUAAGUCCCGCAACGAGCGCAACCCUUGCCUUUAGUUGCCAGCAUUAAGUUGGGCACUCUAGAGGGACUGCCAGGGAUAACCUGGAGGAAGGUGGGGAUGACGUCAAAUCAUCAUGCCCCUUAUGCUUAGGGCUACACACGUGCUACAAUGGGUGGUACAGAGGGCAGCCAAGUCGUGAGGCGGAGCUAAUCCCUUAAAGCCAUUCUCAGUUCGGAUUGUAGGCUGAAACUCGCCUACAUGAAGCUGGAGUUACUAGUAAUCGCAGAUCAGAAUGCUGCGGUGAAUGCGUUCCCGGGCCUGUACACACCG